GAUGAACGCUGGCGGCGUGCCUAAUACAUGCAAGUCGAGCGAACAGACGCGGAGCUUGCUCCUCUGACGUUAGCGGCGGACGGGUGAGUAACACGUGGAUAACCUACCUAUAAGACUGGUAUAACUUCGGGAAACCGGAGCUAAUACCGGAUAAUAUCUUGAACCGCAUGGUUCAAUAGUGAAAGACGGUUUUGCUGUCACUUAUAGAUGGAUCCGCGCCGCAUUAUCUAGUUGGUAAGGUAACGGCUUACCAAGGCAACGAUGCGUAGCCGACCUGAGAGGGUGAUCGGCCACACUGGAACUGAGACACGGUCCAGACUCCUACGGGAGGCAGCAGUAGGGAAUCUUCCGCAAUGGGCGAAAGCCUGACGGAGCAACGCCGCGUGAGUGAUGAAGGUCUUCGGAUCGUAAAACUCUGUUAUUAGGGAAGAACAAAUGUGUAAGUAACUAUGCACGUCUUGACGGUACCUAAUCAGAAAGCCACGGCUAACUACGUG
rnacentral:rRNA from 1 species